CCUGGGAACACGCUUUGUUCUCAUUAUUAAGACUUUCUUGACCUUCAGUGCAUUUCUCUAGCAUCUUGCAUCAAAUUGUCCUACUGUGAUAUGUAGUCACCCCAGCCUGUAUGAGGUGGGAUGGAGUGAGAACAUCACAAUGAGCCGUGGGCAGAUUGCACUGCAGGGCACAAAAGCGCCUGUUGAAAGGAGACACCGAAGGAUGAACUAGCGUCCUUGUGCCGGUUGCAUGGCCCCCUAAGACUUUCUUUCUCUGCUAUGGGGUUUCUCUGUUAUCGAAGCUCCAUCCUAAAGGUCCUUGGCAGUCUGUCCUCUAAAUCUGCAGCCAUGAGCAUUAUCUUCCAGAGCUUUGCCCAGAGCUGCA
rnacentral:lncRNA from 1 species